GGACCCUGGGCCGUCUGCAUCUGUGGAUUACAGGCAGGCUCAGCGGCGAAGUGUGGCAACUCGGGCUCCUCCUCCUCCCCCUGCUGGCAGGAGCAGGACUCAAAAACGGAGAGACAUGAGGAGGAAGAGGAAGGACUUGAGGGAGGUUAUUGAAGCCAAACGCGUGGGUGGAACAGAUGUGCCUCACGUUAAAGGAAAGAGAUAAUUUUCCUUUCUCCUUCCUAUCCUAGCCCCCCCCCCCCUCACACCAUUGGGUUCUGAGGUAUUCACCACGCUUCACAUCGGGCCCUGAACUGAACCUAUGAUGUUUGAGCAGAUUUGUGUAGCUUACACUUUCUGUUAUACUGAGGUUCGGUGAAAGCCUGUAUCUGGUAGUGUGGUAGUAUAAGUUCUAUGCAGUGACAUUUGGUUUCGGCCCUUUGGUGGGCCACCUUGGUAAACUGUCAUAUAGCUGAGUAGGUUUGGUCUCCUCUCACUUAAGAGAGUCUUUCUGCUGAGGCCUCCGCUCAUCAGAGCUCCAGUUAGGCAGUGUAAUCAAGUGUUCGGCCCUCUGUGAGGCCGCCUUGAUGAACAGUCUUAUGUUGAGUAGGUUUGGCCUCCUCUCGCUUGAGAGAGUCAUUCUGCUGAGGCAUCCGCUCAUCAGAGCUCCAGUUAGGUUGAGUAGGUUUGGCUUCCUCUCGCUUAGAGAGUCAAUCUGCUGAGGCCUCCGCUCACCUGAGCUCCAGCUAGACUUGGAAUCAAGUGUUCGGCCCUCUGUGAGGCCGCCUUGAUAAACAGUCUUAUGUUGAGUAGGUUUGGCUUCCUCUCGCUUAGAGAGUCAAUCUGCUGAGGCCUCCGCUCACCUGAGCUCCAGCUAGACUUGGAAUCAAGUGUUCGGCCCUCUGUGAGGCCGCCUUGAUAAACAGUCUUAUGUCGAGUAGGUUUGGCCUCCUCUCGCUUAAGAGAGUCAUUCUGCUGAGGCCUCCACUCAUCAGAGCUCCAGUUAGGUUGAGCAGGUUUGGCUUCCUCUCGCUUAGAGAGUCUUUCUGCUGAGGCCUCCGCUCAUAUAAGCUCUAGUUAGUGUAAUCAACUGUUCGGCCCUCUUUGAGGCCGCCUUGAUAAACAGUCUUAUGUUGAGUAGGUUUGGCCUCCUCUCAUGUAAGAGAGUCGUUCUGCUGAAGCCUCCACUCUCCAGAGCUCCGCAUAGGCAGUUUAAAGGUGCAGACUCUUCCUCUGAGCCUUACUAAUUGUCUAGUGUUGAGUGUAGCCAGGUCUCCUUUCGUUCCGAGAGUUGUUUGCUUGACCUCCACUCUGGAGCUCCAGACGUUGGUGGGUGAGCUAAUCUAUGACGUUCCUUUGAGUCUGACUCAGGGAAUCCAGUUGUUUGAGCUCGUCCCUCAGCAUGGCGGCGUUGAGAUAUCGUUCCCCUAGCGCCCUCUAGAGGACGCAGCGUGGAGUUCCCUUUCGAAAGGGAACGUCUCAGGUUACACAUGUAACCAUGGUUCCCUGAGAAUAGGGAACGAGACGCUGCGUCCCUCGGCCAUGCUUCGGACACUCCCGCUUCCUUCAGACAAAGAAGUGGAUGAUGUGUUCCACGGUGCCCUUUUUAUACCCGCAGUCGCAU
ensembl:lncRNA